rnacentral:rRNA from 1 species
ACAUAAUUUAGAGCCUAAUUCACUUUAAUUAAUAAAUAAAAUUACAUUCAAAUCCAAAUUUAAAAUUCUAAUUAUAAAAUUUAUCCUAAAAUAAAUUUAUUGUAAUCCAUCGCUUCUUUUACAAGCUGCACCUUGAUCUGAUUUCCUAUAAUAUUAAAUAUCAAAAUUAUAUAUAUUCAAAAAUAAUUAUUAACGACGAUAUACAAGCAAAAUAAAAGUUUUAUUAAUCGUGGAUUAUCGAUUACAGGACAGAUUCCCCUGAUUGGAAUAAAAAACCGCCAGAUUUUUUGGUUUUAAAGAACAUAGCUAAUAUUUACCAAGUAAAAAUUAUAUUUACAUCUAGAAUAAUGGGGUAUCUAAUCCCAGUCUAAAAAUCCAGAUUUCUUAACUUCAUAAUCAAAACUUUUAUCUAUUAAAAAAUAAGAUUUCACCCAACAUUUAUUAAAAUAAAAAUAAAUUAUUAUUAAUUAAAUAAAAACUGAAAAAAAAUAAUAGUUUUAUCUGUAUAACCGCA